ACUUUUCAGCGUCUGGCAACAAAUGGCCACAAACCGAUCAAAGGUGAAAGUGACAGUGAACCAGACAGAGCAGUCAGUGGCUGCAUAAAGCAGGACAGCGUGGAUAUUACACACGGGACGGAGUACAGGAAAUAAAACUGUUCCUUAUAAACAAUGGGAAUGUGUCUCAGGAUCAGGUCGAGGAUAAUGACCAGGAGAUCCGCCGCUGCCAUGGCCCCCAGAAUUGGCUGGCCAACAGAAGACAGCGAGUGGUAGUGGAAGGAAAAUAUUCUGCCUGGAAGUCACUGAAUCCCUGCAGUGUGGAAACAAACCCUUCGGUCCAACAAGUCCAUACCAACCUUCCAAAGAGUAACCUUCCCAUGCCCUGACAGUUACCACUGACUACGGCACCUAAAGUAGAAAUCACUGAACACUGUGGGCUAUUUGACCAAUCCACUUGAACUAUACAGCUUUGGACUAUGGGAGGAAACGGGAGCACACAUCAGAAGCUCCCACAGACAAGGGGAGAAGAUGCAGACUCCAUGCAGAUCGUCUCGCGAGGCUGGAAUUGAACUCAUGCCCCUGAUGCUGUGAGGCAACAGUGCGAACUAUGAGCCACUGUGCUAUCCUGGGACCUCCUGCCAGCCUAAUGCAAUGGGAAUUCAGCCAAAUCCAACUCUCCUAGAAUAAAAUCCCAUUGCUAGCAGCUGUGUGAGUACAAUGUCUUCAGAAGCAGAAUAACACUUUGAACAAUCUCUCAAUUUUUCCUUUUGUCAUGAGUUACACUAAUAUUUGGACAAGGUUCUUUCAACAUGAAAUUGCAGAGUGUGUGUGUGUGUGUAUGUCAGUGUUUUUAGAAAGGGAAAUAUCGAUUCUUUAUUUGCAAUACCCAAACAGUUUAUCAUUCAUCUUUCCAUCAUAGUUUGAGUGACAUUGCUCUGGAUCAUAAACGUCUUGUUUGAGCAGAUUAAAGAAACUAGCAUGAUUUGUUCCUAAAACUGACCCCGACCCAGUCUGAGACAGAUAUCAUCAGCUACAUCACCGACUUGGUUACAUUUAACAUUUGUUGUGAGCAGUGGAGGGGUGGGACUAGAAAAGGAAACAGAGACACAAAACAUCGGGGAACUAUAGACCCGGGAGCCUGAUGUCAGUGGUUGUUAAGUUGUUGGAGGGGAUUCUGAGGGAUAGGAUUUAGAUACAUUUCGGAAGGCAAGGGCUGAUUAGGGUAGACAACGUGGCUUUCUGCAUGGGAAAUCAUGGGUCAUUAAUUUGCUUAAGUUUUAUGAAGAGGUGACAAAGGUGAUUGAUGAAGGCAGUUUGGUUGGCAUUGUUCAUAUGGACCUUAGUAAAGUGUUCAUAACAUUCCGAUUGGUAGACAGAUGUGUAAGGUUCGGUCACAUAGGAUACAGAGGAAGCUAAUCACAAUUGGCUUGAAGGAAGAGGGGCAUUUUUUAGACUGGAGGCUUGUGAGAAGCAGUGUGCUGUAAGAAUCAGUACUGAUUUCACAACAUUUCGUCAUUUAGAUGUGAAUAUUGGUACCAUAGAUAGUAAGUUUACAGAUGACAUCAGAAAAGUGGUGUAGUAGAUUAUCGCAGAGUACAACAAGACCACAGAUAGAUGGGACAAAGGGGCAAGGAGUGACAGAUGAAGUUUAAUUUAGAUAAAUAUGAGGUUACACAUUUUGGAAAGGCAAAUCAGGGCAGAAAUUAUACACUUAAUGGUAAGGUCCUGGUGAGUGUGGUGAAACAAAUGGACAUAGGGCUGCAGGUAUAUUGUUCUUUGAAAGUGGAGUCGAAUGCAGAUAGUGUGGUACAGAACACAUUUUACAAAUUUGCCUUAAUCAGUCAGAGCAUUGAGUAUAGGAGUUGUGGUGGCAUGUUGUAUCUGUACAAGAUGUUGGUGAGGCCACUUUAAGAAUACUAAAUACAAUUCGGUUGUCUGCAGAAAUGACUUACAAACAUGUUCCAGAACUGGAGGUUUGAGAUUUAGGGAGAGGUUGAUUAGUUUGAGGUGUUUCCCCCUGGAGUGUCAGAGGCAGAAGUGUGACAUUAUAGAGGUUUAUAAGAGCAUCAGGGGCAUGGAUAUUCUGAACAAUCAUGUUCUGCUCCCCAGGGUAGGGGAGGCCAGAACAGGAGAGCAUAGGUUGAAGGGGAGAGGGUGAAUGAUUUAGAAGGGACCUAAAGAUAAAUGUUUCACACAGAGAGUGGUGUGUGUACAGAAAGUGCUGUCAGAGGAAGUGUGAAGACGGUUACAAUCGCACAUUUAAAAACUAUCUGAAAGAGAAGGGAUAUUGGCCAAAUGCUGGUAAAUGGGACUGGAUCAGAUUUGAUAUCUGAUCGGACUGACGGAUCUGUUUCUAUUCUGCAUGACUGAUUCUAUAAGAGGGAUGAUGAAAAAUUCUGAAAGUACCUUUCAAAUCAGAAUCCUCUUCACUGGAAAUUUAUCAUGCCUCUAUGUUCACAUUGAUUGAAAGUUGCGUUCGUGAAAUAUUUGACAGAGAACUGAAUCAUGGAUAAUGGGACAAAGACAGGGAAAUGAGACCAGAACCUGAUCAGCUACAAUCUUAGUGCCUGGUAGAGAAGGUUCAACGUAUCUAAUGACUCACUCCUGUUCCUCAAUCCCGUAUUCCUGUGUUCCAUUCAGCCCAUUAAACCUGUUAGACAGGAGCAUUUAGAGGCUACUUACUUCUAUAACCUGGUUCACAGAAACAGAGGAGAUCAUUCGACCUUUCAACACUGCCACACACGCUUUGAGGUGAUUUGAGAAAUGUAUUUGUAAAACCCAGUCUGGGUAUGAAAGAGGCCCCUCAUCUCUCUUCACAGAGCUUCCCCGUUCUGAAACAUGUGCUCCAUUUGUUGGUCAUGUUGUCGACCCAGAUUCACUGUGAAUACAGCUCCCAUACCUCACCCAGAGAUUGCUCACAAAGUUCUCUGGUCUCCCUGACGGCAACAUUCAAUAACAGAACAUUCAUGAAAAUAACACCCACUAAUUUUCCAAUAACAGAAUGUGAGAACAUCAGACACAGGGGCAGGUCGUUAACUUCUCAAACCUGCCUUGCCCUUCACUAAGAUUGUGGCUGAUUUGCUGUUGGUCUGAAAUCCUCUUUCAUAUCCCAACUCUCUGGCAGGUCAAUAUCCAUCUACUUCCUCUUCAAAUACUUUCAGUCAUUUGGCUCCCUGAACACUCGUGAGAAGGGAAAUCCUGACAUUCAAUGCCACCUGUUUGAAGAAAACCCUCUCUGCUGCUAUAUCAUGGCUUAUUGAUAUGAACAAAAGAGGUUAACACAAGGGGUCAGGUAAAAAUGACUGGCCCUGAUAUCAAGGCAGUGGUUGACUUCUGUUGACAUCAAAGAGCUUAACAAAACUGGACUUAAUGGGAAUCAGAGAAAACUCUCCAGUAUUUGGAGUCUAACAUUGCACAGAGGAAGAUGUUCAUCAUCUCAGUCCUGGGUCACUUGUGUGCGAGAUCCUCAGGGUAAUCUCCUCUUCACAAACAGCUUCAGCUUAUUCAUCAAUGUCUCUCCGCUCCCAACCAUAAGAUCUGAAGUGGUGGUGGUCACUGAAGAUUCCACAAUGUUCAGAGCAUUUUGUCCCCCGUCAGUUCCUGAACUGGUCUGGUACCAUGUGCAGCAAGACCCAGACACCAGUCAGGUUUGUGCUGUUAACGUGUCUGUAACAUUCAUGUAACAGCACUGCCUGGUACUGCACAUUGCCACAGUAUAACAAGAGUUCAUUCAGCAGCUCACGCUGGUUUCACAGGAAUAUGAGGAAGUAUCUAGCCCAUUGACACUGUUGGAGAAGAACAGGGACAGCCCAUUCAGUGACUCAAGGAAGAGAGGGAUUCUAAUAUGAUGGGCCACACCAGAGCGCGUGGAAAAUAUUUGAAGGCGGUAGCCUAGACUCUAAUGUUUUCCUGUUUUAAAGGAAAUGGAAAGUGUCUGUUCAAGAUGCAAUGUGACUGGUCAACCAACUCGGUGCGAAGCAAAACACCAUUUACUUUAACAUGGAAGAUAAAAUGAAACCAAAGAAAGGGGAAUUUAGAACAACUUAUUUCUAUUGGACAAAUUAACAGAAUAAUAGAUAAUAAUAAUAUAUAAACUAUUACUAAUGAAUUGUUCCAGUAUAGGAAAAUCACAUAAUAACAGCCCCUGGCAAAAAGGACUAUUUAGACACAGAUUUUCACAAAGAUUUCUCCAAUUCAGGAAUUAAAAACAGCAUCAAGAGAAAAUUCAGAGAGAGUAUCAGCCAGGAGACAUCCACUGAAGCUUCCAACUCUGUGGAGACCCCAAUAGUUUCUGAUGUUACUGAGAAACCAAACCCAGAGAUCCUAAUCUGUGAGAGCUGGCCUCACCCAUUCAGGCUGCAUUAAAAUAAACCCAAGGCCUACCUAGCUGUUUACUCAAGUGGUCCUAACUAGCCAGCUUGGUAACGAUCAUUCAAUCUCUCUCUUAAAAUAAACUAGUACAAAAUAAUCUCUUAAAGCUACAGCAUCAUCACACUAGUUAGCACAUCGAGCUGUCAUACAGGAACCGGGGUAACCCAGUCAGACCCUUCUCACUGUCCAAUUGGAUGAGGAAGAAGCCAGUCAGUCCAUUAAGUCACUGACACAGCAAUAGGAUGAGGCUAUUCAUCCCCUUUGGACAAUUACCCAGGAACAGGAGGAAGCCAUUCAGCCCCUUGACCACUUAUACAGGAACAGGAGGAGGCCAUUCCCCCUCAACACACUUACACAGGGACGGAUUGAUUAAAUUGAUGCUGAUUCCUGAUGAACGGCUUGCGCCCGAAACAUCAAUUCUCCUGCUUCUCGGAUGCUGCCUGACCUGCUGUCCUUUUCCAGCAAUCGACUCUCGAAUCUGAUCUCCAGUAUCGGCAGUCCUCACUGUCUCCUAACUGAUGCUCUACCAUGAUGACCAAGUGGAGCAGAGGGUACACAGACAGACUGCUCCACGUUGUUCCUCCUGGCUCCCUUGCUUAUGAUACACACGUGGGACUUUAACAUGGUUUUCUCGCGAUGAGCAGGGAAGCCAUAUGUCUUGUGUGAAGUCUCAAGAAGGCACCUUCCAUCUCCAAGAAGCCAGCCUGGUGUUCUCUGUGUAGGGUGGAAGCUGCUGGGAAUGGCUACCUGUUUCAGAUGGAAGGUAUUGUGGCUGCUGUUAGGGAAUGUGAGCAACCUAACGUUCAGUACGGGUUCACACGCCGACUGCACAAUAACAUGGGGAGAGUUAAUUUAGGCAUAUAAACGAUUAGGAAAAUCACGUUAGACUGAUGAAUGGACUCUCUAAGUUCAAAUAAUGCUGAUCUUGUUCAUGUUGAUUUUGUCUAGUGCACGUCCUGUUCAGUGUAACCUGUAUGCCUUACUAUGUCUAAGUCCAUUUCCACCCUAUGAUCUGUCUGGCCAUGUUUACUAUGAUCUGCCUUCACUGCUCAUAAAUAAAGUGUUUCCCUGUACUAAGGUACACGUGGCAACAAAUCAAACCAA